AUACGUAGGUGGCGAGCGUUGUCCGGAAUUACUGGGCGUAAAGGAUGCGUAGGUGGAUAUUUAAGUGGGAUGUGAAAUCCCCGGGCUCAACCCGGGAACUGCAUUCCAAACUGGGUAUCUAGAGUGCAGGAGAGGAAAGCGGAAUUCCUAGUGUAGCGGUGAAAUGCGUAGAUAUUAGGAGGAACACCAGUGGCGAAGGCGGCUUUCUGGACUGUAACGGACACUGAGGCAUGAAAGCGUGGGUAGCAAACAGGAUUAGAUACCCUGGUAGUCCACGCCGUAAACGAUGGGUACUAGGUGUAGGAGGUAUCGACCCCUUCUGUGCCGUCGUUAACACAAUAAGUAUUCCGCCUGGGGAGUACGGCCGCAAGGUUGAAACUCAAAUGAAUUGACGGGG
rnacentral:rRNA from 1 species